rnacentral:tRNA from 1 species
GGAGAGGUGGCAGAGUGGUCGAUCGCGCCUGACUCGAAAUCAGGUUUGUCCGAAAGGGCAACGGGGGUUCGAAUCCCUCCCUCUCCGCCA